rnacentral:rRNA from 1 species
UGGGGAAUUUUGGACAAUGGGGGAAACCCUGAUCCAGCCAUCCCGCGUGUGCGAUGAAGGCCUUCGGGUUGUAAAGCACUUUUGGCAGGAAAGAAACGUCAUGGGUUAAUACCCCGUGAAACUGACGGUACCUGCAGAAUAAGCACCGGCUAACUACGUGCCAGCAGCCGCGGUAAUACGUAGGGUGCAAGCGUUAAUCGGAAUUACUGGGCGUAAAGCGUGCGCAGGCGGUUCGGAAAGAAAGAUGUGAAAUCCCAGAGCUCAACUUUGGAACUGCAUUUUUAACUAACGGGCUAGGGUGUGUCAGAGGGAGGUGGAAUUCCGCUUGUAGCAGUGAAAUGCGUAGAUAUGCGGAGGAACACCGAUGGCGAAGGCAGCCUCCUGGGAUAACACUGACGCUCAUGCACGAAAGCGUGGGGAGCAAACAGG